UACGUAGGGGGCAAGCGUUAUCCGGAUUUACUGGGUGUAAAGGGAGCGUAGACGGUAUGGCAAGUCUGAUGUGAAAACCCGGGGCCCAACCCCCGGACUGCUCUGGAAACUAUGUUACUAGAGUGCAGGAGAGGUAAGCGGAAUUCCUAGUGUAGCGGUGAAAUGCGUAGAUAUUAGGAGGAACACCAGUGGCGAAGGCGGCUUACUGGACUGUAACUGACGUUGAGGCUCGAAAGCGUGGGGAGCAAACAGG
rnacentral:rRNA from 1 species